GCACUACAGCGCUAUUGGCGAUAGAAAUUAAAAUCAAACAAUAUGGACAGUGUUGCUGUAUCUGUUGUUCCGAGAGUUAUUUAUUGAAUUGGUGGUACUUAAUUAAUGAAGGAAUAUAACGAUUUAAAACAGCGACUGAUGGAAAUUAGGUUAACAUUUCGUGCAAAAUGCACGCGUAUUGGGUUUCAAUUAGUUAAAGAUUACAACGCCAACGGUGAAAUAUGCAAUUCACUUCCCAUGAUUCUCUAUCGACAAUCAAUAUUUCUCACGAUCGAUUUAAGCGGGAAGGAAGCACACCUUGUCUGUAAAGAACAGUGUUACUUAGAAAAAUCAUUCAGAAAGAAGUAUCAUCCAGAAGUUCUCAGGUAAAAAUUUAAAUCAAUAGAUGUCAGAUUUACGUUUGUGUUUUGAAUCUUUAAAAUAAAACGUGCAUUUUUGGCUUCAAGUGAAGCUAACAUUUCGUACGAAAUGUGCGAUUGCAGCGCCAACGGUGAAAUAUGCAACAGACAUCCUACGAUUCUCGACAUAAUCGAUAUUUCUCAAGAUCGAUUUUUAAACGGGAAAAAUGGCGAAAGAAAGCAUACCUCGUCUAUAAAGAAGAAAGUGUUGUACAGAAAAAUCAUCCAAAAAGAAGUAUUAUCCAGAAGUUCUCAGGUUAUUCCUUGAUUGCAGAGACAGCAUAGAUAGUACAGCCACGAUUAUUAAUGGACAAUCUGAUACUGAUGAAAACUUUCACGGAAAUUUGGUAACAUUUUAUUCAUAACAUUUGGGUAAUAUUUGGUAUACAAUUUAUAUAUAUUUGAGAUACAAUUUAUAUGUCUCUCCGAAAACUAACGCGCAAUUGAAAUAUUUCAAAGCAAGAUUUCACACGUGUUUCUCGUGUUAUUAUUUCU